rnacentral:lncRNA from 1 species
UUUUGAUCCAAAAUAUUAGACAAAAUUACACGUAUAGUAGAGAUUAAAAAGUCUUGAAUCCUUGAUGUUGCAAUUGGCUACAAGGUUUUAAAACCUUGCAUACAAUGAGUCGAUGAUGGUGACCUCCACAUUGAGAACUUCAUGUCACAUGUUCUUAUCCUACAAUCUCAUGUCUACCAUUUCCACCCUGGUCACUUAUGAUGCACAAAUACAACACACACCCGAAGAUACGAUUAUUCUGAAACCAUAUAGAGUGCUAAUGUCACAAACAAAG